GUGGGGAAUCUUCCGCAAUGGACGAAAGUCUGACGGAGCAACGCCGCGUGAGUGAAGAAGGUUUUCGGAUCGUAAAGCUCUUUCGUUAGGGACGAACGUGCUCUUUGUGAAUAAUGAGGAGUAAUGACGGUACCUAAAUAAGAAGCCACGGCUAACUACGUGCCAGCAGCCGCGGUAAUACGUAGGUGGCAAGCGUUGUCCGGAAUUAUUGGGCGUAAAGCGCGCGCAGGCGGGAUAUCAAGUCUGGCUUAAAAGUGCGAGGCUCAACCUCGUGAGGGGACAGAAACUGGUAUUCUUGAGUGUCGGAGAGGAAAGUGGAAUUCCAAGUGUAGCGGUGAAAUGCGUAGAGAUUUGGAAGAACACCAGUGGCGAAGGCGACUUUCUGGACGAUGUCUGACGCUGAGGCGCGAAAGCUAGGGGAGCGAACGGGAUUAGAAACCCUUGUAGUCC
rnacentral:rRNA from 1 species